AUGGGAUUUUUGCUCCUUGUAAUUUUCGUUGUAGCCGCUUUGGAAGGUGCCCGGUCCCAGGUGCAGCUGGUGGAGUCCGGCGGGGAUGUGAAAAAGCCCGGAGACUCUCUCCGCCUCUCCUGCAAAGCCUCCGGGAUCACCUUGAGCAGCUACAGUAUGAGCUGGGUCCGGCAGGCUCCUGGCAAGGGACUAGAAUGGGUCGCUUUUAUAAGGUACGAUGGGAGUGAUAAAUACUACCCUGAUUCAGUGAAAGGCCGAUUCACCAUCUCCAGGGAUAAUUCCAAGAGUGAGCUGUAUCUGCAAAUGACCGGCCUGAAGCCCGAGGACACCGCCCGCUAUUACUGUGCGAGACACAGUGACACGAAACCGGCAGCACCCGGAGACACAGUUCGCAGUCCCCUGGGUCUGAGCAGUGACGGCCUGGCCAAUCCUCCUGAGAAACUUCCCCUCCAGCAGCAGGGAAACUGAGACUUUGGCUCCAUUUGGUUUUCAUUCUACA